GUCAUCCCAAUGGGUCAUCUCUUGGGGUCAUCCCAAUGGGUCAUCCCAAUGGGUCAUCUCUUGGGGUCAACCCAUGAGGUCACCCCAUAGGGUCAUCUCUUGGGGUCAACCCAUGAGGUCACCCCAUAGGGUCAUCCCAAGGGGUCAUCUCUUGGGGUCAUGCCAUGAGGUCACCCCAAUGGGUCAUCUCUUGGGGUCAACCCGUGAGGUCACCCCAUAGGGUCAUCUCUUGGGGUCAUGCCAUGAGGUCACCCCAAUGGGUCAUCUCUUGGGGGUCAACCCGUGAGGUCACCCCAUAGGGUCAUCCCAGUGGGUCAUCCCAAUGGGUCAUCUCUUGGGGUCAACCCAUGAGGUCACCCCAUAGGGUCAUCUCUUGGGGUCAACCCAUGAGGUCACCCCAUAGGGUCAUCCCAGUGGGUCAUCUCUUGGGGUCAUCCCACGGGGUCUUCUUGUGACCUCAUAGGGUUAUCCCAUGGGAUCAACUCAGGGUGAAACUAUAGGGCCAUCCUUUGGGGGUCACCCCAAAGGUUAUCCUACGGGGUCAUCUCAUGGGAUCGCCUCGUGGGGUCACCCCACAGAGUCAUCCCAGCGGUGUCACCCCAUGGCAGUGGCACCCACUGCCCCUCACGUGUUCCCACUGACCCCCCAGAGCCCCCUGGCCCCACUCACUCACCUGCUGUGGGUCGGACUCGGGGGGAUUGGCCCUAUAGGAGCUCAGCACCACCCCUCCUCCCGGCCCGGGGGGGUCCGCGCCCCCUCCAGCAGCGCCCGCAGCGCCCGUGGGAACAUUGGGGGCCCCACAGCUCCGCCCCACGGCUCAGCCCCACGGCGACGUCAUCCUGGGGGGGGUCUGGGGAAGGGGGGGGGGUCAGCUGCCCCAUAGCGCCCCCAUUCUGCCCCAUAGCGCCCCUCAGCGCACCCAGCGCUCCCAGUUCCUGCUCCCAGUUCCCGCCCCAUCGCUCCCAGCGCUCCCAGUUCCCCCUCCCAGUGCCCCAAUCCCCCCCCAGCCCCCC
rnacentral:lncRNA from 1 species